CGUAGGUGAACCUGCGGAAGGAUCAUUGUCGAUACYUGCAA
rnacentral:rRNA from 1 species